CACGUAGGCGGCGCGGCAAGUUAGGUGUGAAAGACCUGGGCUCAACCGAGGAAUUGCACUUAAUACUGCCGUGCUUGAGUCCGAGAGAGGUGAGUGGAAUUCCCAGUGUAGAGGUGAAAUUCGUAGAUAUUGGGAAGAACACCAGUGGCGAAGGCGGCUCACUGGCUCGGUACUGACGCUGAGGUGCGAAAGCGUGGGGAGCAAACA
rnacentral:rRNA from 1 species